rnacentral:rRNA from 1 species
GACGAACGCUGGCGGCGUGCUUAACACAUGCAAGUCGAACGGAAAGGCCCCUUUGGGGGUACUCGAGUGGCGAACGGGUGAGUAACACGUGAGUAACCUGCCCUUGACUUCGGGAUAACUUCAGGAAACUGGGGCUAAUACCGGAUAGGAAUCCUUGCUGCAUGGUGGGGGUUGGAAAGCUUCGACGGUUUUGGAUGGACUCGCGGCUUAUCAGCUUGUUGGUGGGGUAGUGGCUUACCAAGGCUUUGACGGGUAGCCGGCCUGAGAGGGCGACCGGCCACAUUGGGACUGAGAUACGGCCCAGACUCCUACGGGAGGCAGCAGUGGGGAAUAUUGCACAAUGGGCGGAAGCCUGAUGCAGCAACGCCGCGGGCGGGAUGACGGCCUUCGGGUUGUAAACCGCUUUCAGCAGGGGCGAAGCUUGUGGUGACGGUACCUGCAGAAGAAGCACCGGCUAACUACGUG